rnacentral:rRNA from 1 species
UACGGGGGGAGCAAGCGUUGUUCGGAUUUACUGGGCGUAAAGGGCGCGUAGGCGGCCACCGCAAGUCGACUGUGAAAUCUCCGGGCUUAACUCGGAAAGGUCAGCCGAUACUGCGGGGCUAGAGUGCAGAAGGGGCAACUGGAAUUCCCGGUGUAGCGGUGAAAUGCGCAGAUAUCGGGAGGAACACCAAUGGCGAAGGCAGCUCGCUGGGACGUGACUGACGCUGAGACGCGAAAGCGUGGGGAGCAAACAGG